UUUUGUUGUUUGUUUCUGAGGCAUAGUUGCUCUCCAGAAUUAAGGCCCCUGAAGGCAUGAGGCUUUCUUUUCUUUAUUUUUCGCCUUUCCUCUUCGUUUCUUUUUCUUUUCUUUCUUUCUCAGCAGAAGUAAAUACUAUCCCGUUCCCAUCCUGGGGCUGAUUCAGAAAAGCAAUUGAAUUAGAAAGCGUUUCUUCAUUGAUGUUCGUAUCUGGGGUUAAAAAUAUCUGAAGUUGAUUUGUGCGUGCCUAUUCUCAACACUGUAAUAUUUUAAAAUGUAUCUGCAUUUGUUAAAGUAAUUUGUACUGAUUGUUCUUCUCCAGAAUAAAUACUAUCUAUCUGGCUGAUUGAUUGUAAUUAUGAUGAAUUUGUCCCGGCACUUGCAUGGAUGUCUUCUUUGAGGAUUUUUGUGCAUCUUUGCUGCUCAUCAAAGGGAAGGCUAGAAGGACUUUGGAAGGAGGGUGUGGUCGGGCUGAUUCAGCUUCCUUCCUCGCCCAUCCCUGACUCCUUCCCUCUGCUCCUCCCUCUCCCCAUCUCCUACCCUGGCUCCUCAGAUCCCUCCUGAGCCAGCUGUCAAUGAAACGGCAUUUACCUUUCAUUUCGCAUCACCUGUGUUAGACUCGGGCAGGUAGGACACCACUCCCCACAAUCAAAUUCAUUACAUUUGUAAUCUCAGCAUUUUUUCAGACCAAGGAGGAGGAGACCAGACUGUUACUUCCACUCCUUAAGCUUCUCUUCUCCUGGGAUUAUUAGCCAAGAUAGUAAUAACAAUAGUAAUACUGUAUUUAGAAACUCUCAGGCACACUUGAUCUCUGAGAGUCGUACAGAUGUUAACUAAUUAAUCCGUGCAAGAGAGGUAAAUAUUAUUAACCAUGAUGGAAUAUACCUAUGUAUAUGCUAAGGACAGCAAAAUAGUUCACUUAUUUAUCACGGUUCACUUGCUAUAGUCACUGGUAUUUUUAAAACACCCAUCAUAGAUACAAUAAUUAGAGAUGUGCUUUUGUUAACAAAACCACUACCCACUUCUAGCGUACCCUUGGGUACUAAGUAAUUACCCACUUUGUGUGGUUAUCUAGCUCACUAAUUACCCACAGAAAUUGGGGUCAGGUGUUAACUGCUUGAAAUAAGUAUCCUCCAAAGACAUCGCUGAGUUGUAUAGAGAAAAUGAUGUGUUCAGAGCAAAACUUUCAUAACUCAUAUAUUUGUAUAUCUUUGUAAGCGGAGCGAAUACCGACCGGGGCAGAUCGGCUCAGCACGUGAAAAUCAUGCUGAACUGUUGUGGCGAUGGCAGAAGGGUUUUGGAGAGUCUGGGGACAUUUCAUCCUCUGUUUACCUUUCCUUUCUGAAGAUGAGUGGAAGGACAGGGGUCCCAUAAUCUGCCCUUCAUAUGCACGCACACUAAGACAAUUGGUGAGUCUGGUUAGGAGUGAUUCAUUUUGGCGGUACAGGGAGGCACCCAGUGAGUCAAAGAUUUUUUUUUUUUUUUUGACAGCUCCACCCAUUAUGAGUAUACUAGCAUGUUUCUUUUUUUUCUCAUCAGUCUAGUGCAAACACACUAUUAGCCAAACCUGAAAGAGAUUCUAACCCAGUCCCCAAGCCUGCCAACCAUCUCUUUCUCCUUCCCAAUAAUGACAGAAAGAAAGAAAGAAAGAAAGAAAGAAAGAAAGAAAGAAAGAAAAGAAAAGAAAAGGAAAGUAUUAAAGGGAAUCCAGCACUAUGAUUUUAAGUCUCUUUUUGCCUGGAUAUCUUCUCCCUCCCCUCCCUCCCCCUCCCUCCCCCUCCCUCCCCCUCCCUCCCCCUUCCCUCCUCUUCCCUCCCCUCCGGUCCCCUCCUCUCCUCUCUUCUCCUUUCCCUUCUUCCUCUCUCUGUGUCUCCUCAUUUGUGUUUUUCCUUCUCCUUUUCCUUGGCCUCCAGCUGUGCUUCUGCAGGUCUCCCGGUGAGAGACAAAGCAUAGUGUCUGAACUGAGCACAAAGAAGCUACCUUUAAAAAACAUCGACUUGGGGGAAACCUGCAUCCUCAGAUACCUCCCUCCCUUCCUUGCUAUUUACAGAACUCAGCCUUACACUUCACACAGGCCCAUUGUCUGCGUGAUUCUAGCCAGGAAAAUGAGGUGAAGAUGGCCAUAUACCCACUGUGUGUAUAGAUAGGUAGAGACCCCAGUUAUCAGGAGCUACCUGUUUUCCGGGAUCAUCGUGUAGCCGAGCUUUGAAAACGCACGCCAACAGACAUGAUGGGAGAGGCUCCCCUGUUCAAGUCAGGAUGUCUUUCAUUUUUAUCUUGUGCCACUUUUUUUUUGUCAUCGGAAUGAUUACUUAUCAUUAUCAAGGGGCUUUAGGCUGAUCAAUGGAGUGUGUAUGUAUCUGAUGGACAUUUGAGGAGAAACCCUUCAGAAAGAAGGAAAAUGUCUGCAGUGGAAGUCGAGGGUUAGUAUGAGCUACAGUGACUGAUGAGUUCAUUUCAAAAUCCACGGGCGCGUAAGUGGUAAAUUAGUACAUACAGCAAACAGAGUCAGCAAGCAAAGCCUCCCGUUGAAAGGAAAGAGACUUUGAGCAUUGUAGUCAUCUCACGCCUGAAGAGAGUGCAUAUUUUAAAUAUAGAUUCGAAUCCCUGCUCUUUUAUCCCUCUACAUGCCGAUUUCAAAGAAGUAUUUGGGCACUGUUGACUUUCCAUCCGUGAAGAAAACCCACCAAGAUGCAGGAAACGUACACAUGCACUCCAACAUGCUUAGGUGUUUUAGAUGCUCGUGGGAUGCGGAACAAUUAGGCAGAGAACUGCGCUGUGGUCUCGCUUCGUCACUCCUCCCCCCCCACUUUUUCCCCUCCCUUCUAGAAAGCGUGAUACCUGAUCUCUGGGUCUAGCAGGCUGAGGAUUUUUCUGUAUUUGUAUAAUACAAUGUCUGGCCUUCCCCCUGACCUGCUGGUGUAUUUUUGGUCUCAUUAGUAGUCAGAAAGAUGCUUUCGUGCAUCCGGGGCUGCGAGUCAGGGUGAGACAUACAACGGAGAGAGGGAGUGAGCGCGAGAGGAUAUUAGAAGGGAGGCUUGUCUCCAAGAUAUGGAAGGAAGUGGGAAAUGACAGGACGGCAAGCUUUGUAUGGAGGGGCCUGGCAGGGCGGGGGAGCGGCGGGGAGAGCCAAGUGGAUUCUCAGAAAAGGAGGGAAGCCGUGGAAGAGCGAAAGGUGAUUAGAGGGGGAUAUUGAUUCCUUAUUCUGCCAGAGAUUGAAGCAAGCAUGCGAGGAAUCUGCACCAUGGUUGGCAAAAGGAGACCCUGUAACCAGACACUCAGGCUUUCCAGGAGCCCAGGGAGAGAGCCGAGAAGAAAGGGGGCAGUGUGGUCUAGGAAAAUUCAACUUGUCGCUGAUUUGUGCCUGAUGCUUGCUGUCCGUCAGCAGCCUCCCUUACAAUCUUUUUUUCUCUCUCUCCCUUUUUUUCUUGCCUUCUCCUUCUUCACUGAAGCCUAGGGGAGCCAGCAAAGAUUAAAUGUGCUUUCUCAAAGGCAGCCACUUCAUGCUGCUAUGUCGAAAGGGCCAUUAUUAUUAUUAUUUUUAAUAGUAAAAGAAAACGGGAGAGAGAGGCUGAGACAGAGAGAAGCAAGGUAGGCUGAUGACGGACUAGCUUUUCUGGGAGGAAAAGGAAAGUGAGGGAGAAAGGAGAAACCCUGAACUGAACCGGACGAUCGUGCCUGAGAAGAACCUCCAGAGCAUAAACUACAGAGUCACAGUCUCUAGAUUUGGUGUAGCGCUUCCUGCCCCCGCCUCCCCUCCCCGCCCCGUGGUCGGUCCUCUAUUGAAACACCUCGCCCAGGCUAGCGCACUGCGAGCUCGCAUUUCCCCCCCUUGCUCGGAAUGGUGUCACGGGAGGCUGCAGCCCCGCUCCGCUUCCAAAGGUUGUGUUGACGUUCCUUUCAGCUGGUCCUCUAGCCCCCGUCCUCAGGAAGGUCUCCCCAGUGAAGGGACGUAAACGGCACUGGACACGGCUAUACUGGGGGAUGCUCAAGCCAGCUAUGAAGUUGAAACAAAGGAAAUGAUCACCUGGAGACACCUCUUCUGCUAAGCAUCACCCCCAAAGGAUGCAGUUUCAGGCAAUAGAGCUCCCAGAAUACGAGGCAAUCUUUUCAAGAAACAGAAAAAACUUCCCAGUGACAUCUAGAUUUCUAAGGAGCCAAGGACUUCCCCUUCCUCAUGUGUAUUCCUCUGUUUGUAUUUUAAUUCAGUGGGACACUUCAUUUCUAAAAUAUCUCCCCGGUAUGGAUAUGCUUAUUAAUGCACCAAUUUUUAAAAUAGAAAAUUGCACAAAUGUGUUCAUGUUUUAAGGAACAAAAUUAAUGCUAUAAGUAGGUUGAUUUCUAGCCCACAGAUGGUUUGAUAUGAAGAGUGACUUAAAGGAAUAUAAAGUACUUUUGAAAUAACAAGGUAGUCAGAGGCAACCCAAAGGCUAAAAUAACGGUGGAAACUCAUAAGGCAGCUGAAAAAUACCACCGUAUCCCACCUGACACCAACCAAUUAAUUAUUCUUUUAAUCAAGCAAGAUAGGUUCCAAAGACAUGGUCAUUACUUCUAAAGAGUGUAAAUCCAGUUCUACAGUGAUACAUAAACUUUUGAAAAGAUCGUAACAAAUCAGGUCUAUAGAUGUUAAGACCACAACAAAACAAAAGAUACAAAGAAAGAGCUUGGAGGAAGUCACCAUUAUCUGGCAAAACUAGUCUGUUUAGGGAACAGAGUUCCCAAAGGAGGAAAAGAUGAAUCUUAAAGAAUGUUGAAGAUUUAGGCGCACCUGUCUGCUCAGUUGGUAGAGCGGGUGACUCUUAAUCUCAGGAUUGUGAGUGUAAGCCCCACAUUGGGCAUGGAGCCUAUUUACAAAAAAGAAGAAGAAGAAGAAGAAGAAGAAGAAUAUUAAAGAUUCAGAUAAAUGGAAAGGAAAGAAAAAAAUAGAAUCCUUUAAAUGAAUGCAAUAUUAUGAGCAAAGCCAUAGAAGAAGGAAUCUAUGUGGUGAGUUUAGGGAAUUAUGACUAUACAUGUCUAGUUGACUUUCAGUGCCAGUGUAAAUAUGCAUAUACAGUAAGGACUUCACACCACACCUCCUCUCUCUCACCCUGAGUGUCACCUAGAAUCAUCAUCAGAUUUAUUUACCAUUAAAGCAAGUGACAGUGAUUGGUGGUAAUAUGAGAACUUAGAUUUUUCUGUUAACUCAAUAAUAGUUGGUAUUUUUGGAGUUCUUACUGUAUGUUAAGCAUUUUACGUAUGAACUCACUUAAGCCUGCAACUCAGAACAACCCUGCAAAAUAGGUAUUAUUAUCCUUGUUUAAAAGAUAAGGUUUAAGGAGGUCAAGUAACUAGCCAAACUGCCAUAUACAGGGUUCUCAUUCAGAACUGUGAUUGCAAAACUCAUGAUCUAAAGCACUGAGUCACAAUAUUGUGAUCAAUGUUGCAGUAUUACCACUUGAAUAUUCCUUGAUCAUUUUUUAUGGUAAACAAAUAGCUACAUUAUUCAGUUGUCCUGUCAGUUUUUUUCAGUUUUCUGCUCAAAUCAUGUUAGAAUGAUGGAAAGAAUUUUCAUGAUAGAAAAUUGAAAGAAUUGGAAAAUAGAGCUUAUUGGCACUUCUGGCUUUUGUUUUGGCUUUUACUGUUUUUUUUUUUACUAGAUGUUAAGUAAAUUGUUCUUUUCUGCAGAAAAUCUCAAAUUCUUGAGAAUUAUCAAGGGGGGGGCACUUAAAGGUCAUCUGUUGUGAUGUGCUUUUCUACAGAUGACAGAUCAAAGUUAGAGCGACUUACAGAAGAUCACACAUUUGCAUUUGGCAGGGCUAUGUCCAGAAACCAGGCUGCCCAGUUUCCUCUCAGAGGCUCUUAAAGUAUGCCACGCUGCCUAAAUGAAGGAUGAACUUGAGUUUGAUCAAGUAAAGCAUUCUCUCUGGGUGAUAAGGGAGCACCGCACUUAGUAGAUUACUUCAAUUUUGCAUCUCUUUGGCUUCCCACCUCAACAUGAAAAAAAGCCAGUUAUGAACUAGCAUCUUUUGACGUAGCAACUGUCAAUGAUCCAUCCCCAGAGAACAUUAAUGGCUCAAGUUAUGUGUAUAAUGUCUUCAAUGAUAUCCUUAAGUUAUUUGGAAUUCUUAGCUCACCUAAACAAACCAGAUCUUCUAAUGAGCAUUUUCUUACCCAAUUUCAUGCACAGUAUGUAUUCCUAAGUGCUUCCGCAUGAAUAUUUAUACGUGACUGUUUCAAUAGUCCUUAUGUUUUUGAAAAAUAUCGAUGGUUAUUUGCUAUUUUAAUCCUCACUUAUCCUUGUAACUAACUCAAGGAUACUUCAGCCCUAAAAAGCUAGAAUUGAGGAAAUAUCACUCUUCUCUACCAGCUCUUUUGCAUUUAGUUGGCAUUUAGUAAUGAUUAAUAAAGUGGUCAGCUGAAUAACACAGAGGUUCAGUGGGCAAUUCCAUCUUGAAGGGGUCAGUUAAGCUGGGUCUACUUAAGGACAAACAUGUAGGUGUUUGGAAGUACCUGCAUAUUUGACUGUUGUAAAUUUCCACGUAAAAAUCUGGCAUUGUCUGACAUAGACCUUGUGGCUUGGGUCAUCCUGUUUUCAAAAUGAUGAUUAUUGGACACAUCUCGCACAGUUCUCAUUAAGUGAGUUCAUAAAUAAGCAGGUUUGUUUGUUUGUUUGUUUGUUUUUAAAGAGUAGCCAAGCACAAGAUGUGACUUUAUUGACAUUUUAUGAGACUUUGUCAUUUGUCCCUUGAAUCCCCAAUAAAAACAAUGUUGUAUCAACUGUGAA